UACAGAGGUCCCAAGCGUUGUUCGGAUUCAUUGGGCGUAAAGGGUGCGUAGGCGGCCCUGUAAGUCAGUGCUGAAAUAUCCCAGCUUAACUGGGAGGGUGGCAUUGAUACUGCGGGGCUAGAGUACAGAUGAGGUAGGCGGAAUUGACGGUGUAGCGGUGAAAUGCUUAGAUAUCGUCAAGAACACCUAUAGCGAAGGCAGCUUACUAGGCUGUAACUGACGCUGAGGCACGAAAGUGUGGGGAUCAAACAGG
rnacentral:rRNA from 1 species